rnacentral:rRNA from 1 species
UACGGAGGAUGCGAGCGUUAUCCGGAUUUAUUGGGUUUAAAGGGUGCGUAGGCGGGCUUUUAAGUCAGCGGUAAAAAUUCGGGGCUCAACCCCGUCCGGCCGUUGAAACUGGGGGUCUUGAGUGGGCGAGAAGAAGGCGGAAUGCGUGGUGUAGCGGUGAAAUGCAUAGAUAUCACGCAGAACCCCGAUUGCGAAAGCAGCCUUCUGGCGCCCUACUGACGCUGAGGCACGAAAGUGCGGGGAUCGAACAGG